rnacentral:misc_RNA from 1 species
UCGCGAAAUCUCGCCGUUACCGAGACGUCGCGAGACCUCAGCUUUGUUGGAGAAGGUGUUCCUUUUCUUCAGAUUUUUCCGUCUUGCCAUUUGUUUAGAAGAAAAUAAGCCCGGGCGAAGCAACGGACGCGGGCAGCGAUGAGUGAGGAUAACAUCGAGAUCAAAGGAGAGCAGGAGGUGGACCUGAUGGAGGAGCUGCUGGACUCGGCAGAAAACUUUGAUGAACUGAAUGACGUUGCUGACGAUAAAGCCAGCCCUCCCUCUUUCCACCUUUUGCUAGACAAACGUCGCAAGAAAGUCGUCGACAACAAGGAUAUCUCGAGUAAGAACAAAAAGGAUGACUCCAAAGAGAUAGCACUGAAAAGGAGCAAAUUGAAAGAGAAGCAAGAUGUUGCCCGUGCAAAGAGAGAAGGGAAAAAGAAAGUGAAAACCAUUAAAAAAGAAGGUGAAGGAGAUGAUGGAGGUAAGAUGGGGGAAGAGGAAGGGGACAUGGAAUUUGACACAAGGAGCGAAGCAUCAUCUGACCACCAGUUCUCAGAUGAUGAACCAUCUAUGAGUGAGGCUUCUCAUGCAUCUUCCAUCUCUCGGGAAUCAUCACCUGAGAAGGAAGACAUGGAAGAAGAAAAGGAGACAAGAAAAAGAAAGCAUAGUGCUUCAGAAACCUCUGUGAAGAGUAAUGAUGAUUCUCCAGAAAAGAAGGUGAAGGAGAACUCGACAAAGAAAAAAUAUGACUACAUAACUAAAAUCAAUUACAUGUUCCGUGAUGCUCGGUUCUUCCUAAUGAAAUCCAACAAUGGAGAGAACAUUGUGUUGUCAAAGUCCAAAGGCGUGUGGUCUACACCUCCUCAGAAUGAAGCCAAGCUCAACCAGGCUUACAGAGAAGCUAGGAAUGUAAUCCUUAUCUUCUCAGUUAAAGAAAGUGGACGUUUUUGUGGAUUUGCACGGCUAUCGGGAGAAUCAAGACGAGACCUUCCCCCAGUGUCCUGGGUGCUGCCACCAGGAUUGUCAGCUCGUGCUCUGGGAGGAAUAUUUGAGAUGGAUUGGAUAUCAAGGAAAGACCUAUCCUUUACUAAAACACAACAUCUUUAUAAUCCAUGGAACGAAGGCAAACCAGUAAAGAUUGGAAGAGACGGUCAGGAGAUUGAACCAAGAGUAGCAGAGGAACUCUGCCGACUCUUUCCCAAAGAUGACGGGGUCAAUCUCACACCAGUCUUGCACAAAAGCAAGCGAGCAGCACGCGUUGCUCGGGCCAGGGGGCCUCUCCGCCGGCCACUCCAACCAGCAGGCGACCGCCGUGGCCGCCCCAGAGAACGUGGAAACUUCCGGGGCCGAGGGGACGUAAGCUUCAGGUGCGUCACUACCACCAAGGUUCAGUCACGGCUUGGAGAGUUACAUAUCAUAUUGAUGUUGCCAGUGAUGGCUCUCUGGGUAAUGAUAGCUUCAUCUCUCACCAGUGCACAACUAGUACUGUGGCCAUCACAUUACAUAACACCACACAUGUUGCAGUUUGAAACUGAUUCAGUAAUGAAACCCAAUAGUUCUAUCAUUGAACAGUACACAUGACCCAGUCUCAAAUAGUGAAAAUCAGUUAGACAAAUUCAAGACCAUUUUUUCAGUAUUCAUCACAAACAACAGUCAGUGCUGGUCUCUGGUUGAAGUUGUGUUGUGGAAGGAGAUGUAUGGUAGCAUUCUCUAUGGUGGCAACAGUGGCAACUAGCAGAUAAGACUCUCCAAUAUCCAAUACAGUAAAUGGACUGACAGUCAGUAAGUGCGUGGCAACGUGUCACGGAUUCUGCUAGUAUCAGGGUAAACACGUGAGACUGGCAUGGCCCCUAGCGGGUCAGCCCCACUCACUCCCUCGGUGUCUUGUUACCGCUCUGUCUCUCACCCCAGUGCUGAGGACCCCUAUCCUCUCACAGGACUCUGUCCCUUUCUCUCUCACACAACCUGGCUAGUGAGUGACACACCCACCACAAACAUAACCAGUGCAGUGCGUACCUCCACGUCAGUUAAUACCUAACUACCAUCAUCAAGAGCAGGCAUAGACUAGGUGUUUCCUUUUGAUAAUUAGAACUUCAGAUAGUAGAAGAGUAAAUAUAUGCUGGUAAAUAAGUUCUACCCAGUGGACUUGUCCGUCAGUAUAUCUUAAGAGACCAUUAUCCAAAUAGUAGUAUAAUGAACUUUCAGUGAAAGUAGUGAGUGGUUGGGUCAAGUCCAUAUACCAGCAGUAGGUGACACUCACUAGCAGGUUGGCACAGAGCCAGGCCCCACCAUGUGGACUCGGCUUAGCUGUAAGGUAUUGGUCAUAAACUUUUUUGUAAGGUAGUGUCUUGCAUGGACUCGCUCAAGCAUUCAGGACCAAGUGUGUUGGAGAUCCCAUAAGUUCACACAAGAGAUUAAUAGGUGACUGAAGCCCUGAGCUAAGUCAUUGAUCAAUGAGAGAGUAUUUGCCUGGCUAGUGAAAUAGUGUGGGGGAUAUUAGUGAGUGAGAAAUGAUCAGUGAAAGUGAGAAGUGAAGUAAAAGUGAAAUGGUGAAAUAUCAGUGCAUUGUGUUGCGCUCAAGACAGCAAGAGGGCAAGUCCCUGCCAUCUGUAUUGUCAACACAACACUUCAUCUUCGAACUUGUAGUCGAGGCGGAGGCAGGCGGCGGAGAUACGAGGGAGAAGAUUACGGCCCGAGGGUGAAGCGCCUCAGAGGGCCGCCAAACUUCAGGGGCAGAACAGAGAAGUCAGCUUCCUACACCCGUGAGAGAGUGAGA